UACCAGCACCCCGAGUGGUCGGGACGUUUAUUGGGCCUAAAGCAUCCGUAGCCGGUUCUACAAGUCUUCCGUUAAAUCCACCUGCUUAACAGAUGGGCUGCGGAAGAUACUAUAGAGCUAGGAGGCGGGAGAGGCAAGCGGUACUCGAUGGGUAGGGGUAAAAUCCGUUGAUCCAUUGAAGACCACCAGUGGCGAAGGCGGCUUGCCAGAACGCGCUCGACGCUGAGGUGCGAAAGCGUGGGGAGCAAACAGG
rnacentral:rRNA from 1 species